ensembl:lncRNA
CAGGCCACUGUGUUUUAGCAGACUUGGACCUGGAAUCAGAGAGACCUGGGUUGAAGCACCAAUUCUGCCUCCUACUAAUUCUGUAUCUUCUGAGGAGGUCAUAAACCUUGUCUGAGCAACAGUUCCUCAUUUGCAGGAUGCUGAUUAUAAUACAUCCAAGAGUUCUUGUGAGAAUUAAAAACUAUAAUGUCCAUGAAAGCACCUUAAAAACUGCAAAGUGACUCGUAAGCUGUAAGGUGUACAAAGCUCUUUUUGCAAGAAGCUCUGCAAAGACCCCAAACUGUUAAUUCUGUGUCUGAAUGAUUUGUCUUUUUCUCUUCUUUGAACUACCCACCAAGAAUAGAAAUCACCUAAUAAAGGCUGCCUGAAUGACUGGCGUUAGGAAAUCACAAGAGUUGAUAAAGGAACAAUUGAGUAUUCUCUGAGAAGAUGGCGUCUCAUUUGAAAUUCUAAGUGAAGCUGAGCUGGGAACACAUAAUCCUUCAAAGGUUUAUGAAGUUUAAUUGGUUUGUCUGAGGUGACUAGAGCUAUAAAGAGAAAAAUCACAGGAAAAGUGAGGUAGGUUAGAUGUCACUAUAUGAUUCAAAUGAUUCAGAUGAAACAUAUAAUUUAAUGAUCUAACAUUUUCCUGCCUUUUCUCCCUCUUCUCCAUUCUCCCACCCAACAUUUUAAGAAUCUGACCUUCAGGGACACAGAGAGAACCACAAAGAAGACACUGGCACACCUCCCUUUAAAGAAUAAAUGUGUUCCUGGAAUGUCACGUGUACAUUGAAUUUUUAUAGAUUGAACAGCUAAAUUAAGUCAUAUUUAAAUACACUCAAGAGAGCUGACUCUUCGGCAAAUUAAAAUAAAAAUAUUUGUAUAAUAGUAGAUAUCGUUUAUCAGGUUAACUACUGAACAUGAGACUCUUUGUAUAUAUUAUCCAAAUCUCACAAUAACCUCACAAGAUAAGAAACAUUAUUUCCAUUUUGUAGAUGAUGGGAUUGAAGCAGGGAGUGGAACUACAGGACCAGUUUAAACUGGCCCCAUCUUAUCAAUAACAGAAUGUUAAAGUUAUCUUGCAGGGGCAGUGGGCCAAAACUGCAAGUUAUAGCUGGAGCAGAUGCAGAGGAGAAAAUUUUGACCUGAACUAACACUCAGAACCAAAGAUUCUCCCCCCAUGGGAUAAAAGCACCAAGACACAAUGUGAACUCAAAGCUGGACUCUCUUCAGAAGUGAGGGGGUCUGUUGUCCAGGAAGAUUUGGUGGUAAAAUCCCUUUCCAUAUCUUACCAUAAAUGGUCAUGUUUGUUGUCCUUCCAAUCAAAACCUGUCCUGCCAGUACUUCUGCAUACCAGCCUGCUCUCCUUAAUCCCUUAAACUUUACCCCAAACCCUGGAUUGAGGAGACAGAUUUGAGAGCCUUGCCUCCUGUCUGCUUGCAAUAAAGUCUUGUCUUUUCUUCAAAGCCAGUGCCGUACUGUUGGCUUCUCUGCGCAUCGGCAGCAGACCCGGUAACAGGAGUUUAAGAAACUUGUCCGUUGUUAUGCAGAUAAUAAGUGGUAAAGCCAGGAUGUAAACUGGUUUCAAGUCCAGCCUACUAAACCACAGCUGCCUCGAAAUAGGAAUGUUUUUGAAAAGGUCAUUGCUGUUGCCCCUCUAGACCAUAAGCAACUUGGAGAGAACAGGUACUGGUGUCUCCAGUACCCAGCAUAGUGUUGGAAUAAAGCAGUGACUUGGAACCCUCCCAGAACCCACCAGCAGCCCUGUGGACUCCAUCACCUCAAUAAGGUACAGAGAAAGAAAGCCUGUGCCUUCUGGGCCUCAUUCUAACCCCCAGAUCAAUUCACAUCCCCUUUCCUCUGGAGGUCCAGCAAGUCUUUUUGCAAACACGACAUGCUGUUAAAUCAAUUAAACCAGGAGGCCAUUAGACUGAGAUGGCUCUUAGAUUGGCAAACCAAAAUCUAAGCCUGUAAAUGCCUCAAGGUUACGAAAUGGAAACACUAAGGACAACCAAUCACAAACCACCAAUGAGGCUUUAAGCUUUAGCUAGUCAAUGAUUUCCUUGCUUUGCUUCCACCUUUUCUCUACAAAUAUCUCUCUCUAACUCCUGUGGAUGGAGUGCUCCUAACCGUGUUCUGGUUUGGCAUUGCCCAAUAUGAAUCAAUGGUUGCUCAAAUAAACU